rnacentral:rRNA from 1 species
AUUGAACGCUGGCGGCAUGCCUUACACAUGCAAGUCGAACGGCAGCACGGGUGCUUGCACCUGGUGGCGAGUGGCGAACGGGUGAGUAAUACAUCGGAACAUGUCCUGUAGUGGGGGAUAGCCCGGCGAAAGCCGGAUUAAUACCGCAUACGAUCUACGGAUGAAAGCGGGGGACCUUCGGGCCUCGCGCUAUAGGGUUGGCCGAUGGCUGAUUAGCUAGUUGGUGGGGUAAAGGCCUACCAAGGCGACGAUCAGUAGCUGGUCUGAGAGGACGACCAGCCACACUGGGACUGAGACACGGCCCAGACUCCUACGGGAGGCAGCAGUGGGGAAUUUUGGACAAUGGGCGAAAGCCUGAUCCAGCAAUGCUGCGUGUGUGAAGAAGGCCUUCGGGUUGUAAAGCACUUUUGUCCGGAAAGAAAUCCUUGGCCCUAAUACGGUCGGGGGAUGACGGUACCGGAAGAAUAGGCACCGGCUAACUACGUG